CGCGGUAAUUUGACCGUGCUAAGAGUAGCAUAAUCAUUUCGUCUUUUAAUUGAAGACUGGAAUGAAAGGUUUAACAAGAAAUUUGCUGUCUUAAAAAAUAAAAUUGAAUUUUAUUUUUUAGUGAAAAAGCUAAAAUAAUUUUGUGGGACGAUAAGACCCUAUAGAUCUUAAUUAUUUAGAGUGAUUAACUUUUAAACAUAAUUUUAUUGGGGCGAUAGCAAGAAAAGAAUAUCUCUUAAAACUUAGAAAUACUGAUAAGUAAAUUGGUAAAUGAUCCUAGAAGAUAGGUUAUUAGAAUAAGUUACCUUAGGGAUAACAGCGUAAUAUUUUUUUAGAGUUCUUAUCGAAAAAAAUGUUUGCGACCUCGAUGUU
rnacentral:rRNA from 1 species